GGCGGCGGUGUCCUGGAGGGCCCGGAGGCGGCGGCUCCUCAUCCAGUAAAGCUAAACUCUUCUCCAGUGCAUCAUGAACGGGGAGGAAUGUCCGGGGUGCAAAUGGAACGUGUGUCACAUUUCAGAAGAAAUGAGGCGACGUUGCGGAGGUCCAGGCAGUUGGCCCGGUGGAGGUCCUGGAGGAGACGGUCCCGGCGGUGGAGGACGGCUGGGGGAUCCGGCGGUGGAGGUCCGAAGGCGGCUCGUGAUUAGACCAAGCAGCUCCUCAUCCAUGGAAGCAGGAUUGAAGGAGUCACUGGGGAUGAAGAUCACUGCUCAGGGGCUGACGACCACUCAUCUUUCCGGAGAAGCGUCCUCAUGGUGCAGGCGGUCAAACCUCCACCUCUUUGAAGAGACCAAGCAGCUUGAUGACUGACUGGUUCUUUAUACUCAAGACCUCGUCCCGGAGCAGAGGACGGACCUAAGGCCCGCAGCGCAGCCGACUAGAGACUCCAUGUGGAACCGGUUCAAUUAAGUUGACCUCUCCUUCAGGCGACUUAAAGGGAGACCAGAUGUGCGGCAGCUGGGUGUCAUGGUGCAGAGACCCAACGCUGUACUGAACUACACCAGUGUGUCCUACUCCCAUAAACCCUGAGGAUCCCUGGAUGGCUACACCAGCACAUUAAUCCACACCCAACAUCAACACACAGUGCACACUCUAUAGAGAUCGUAAG